GUACGAAAUUGAACAUGAGAAAAUAAGCUCAUCGUGUGGGGGUUCGAGGUGAAGGACAAUACAUGGUGGAGGACGACGGCUGAGUUCCAAGAUCUUCGCUGCUGGCUGCCUAACUCGGGUUGGAGUUUCGCUAAAAGGGGUGGAACCUUGGAGUGAAGAGAGGUCAAGAGCUAUCGUCUUGGAACUAGCAGGACACUUUCGUCAAUGUAGACUGGGGAUUAAUUACUUAAUUUCAUGAAGCUAUACCCUUCAAUAACUUCAGUCUUGAAUCAAGUUUUAUAUUAAAGUAUUUAAUUUU